GAUGAAGAACGCAGCGAAAUGCGAUAAGUAAUGUGAAUUGCAGAAUUCAGUGAAUCAUCGAAUCUUUGAACGCACAUUGCGCCCGCCAGUACUCUGGCGGGCAUGCCUGUCCGAGCGUCAUUUCAACCCUCGAACCCCUCCGGGGGGUCGGCGUUGGGGAUCGGCCCUCCGUUCGCGGGGGCCGUCUCCGAAAUGCAGUGGCGGUCUCGCCGCAGCCUCCCCUGCGCAGUAGCUUGCACACUCGCACCGGGAGCGCGGCGCGUCCACAGCCGUUAAACACCCAACCUUCUGGAAUGUUGACCUCGGAUCAGGUAGGAAUACCCGCUGAACUUAAGCAUAUCAAUAAGCGGAGGA
rnacentral:misc_RNA from 1 species